GACGAACCGUGCGAGCGUUGUUCGGAAUCACUGGGCUUAAAGGGCGCGUAGGCGGUCCGCCAAGUCCGGGGUGAAAGCCUCCAGCUCAACUGGAGAAGUGCCUUGGAAACUGGCGGACUCGAGCGAGGUAGGGGUGAUGGGAACUUCUGGUGGAGCGGUGAAAUGCGUUGAUAUCGGAAGGAACGCCGGUGGCGAAAGCGCAUCACUGGACCUCUCCUGACGCUGAGGCGCGAAAGCCAGGGGAGCAAACGGG
rnacentral:rRNA from 1 species